UACGGAGGGUGCGAGCGUUAUCCGGAAUCACUGGGUUUAAAGGGUGCGUAGGCGGUCUGAUAAGUCAGUUGUGAAAUUCCUCGGCUUAACCGAGUGGACUGCGAUUGAUACUGUCAGACUUGAAUCAGGUUGAGGUAGGCGGAAUGUGACAUGUAGCGGUGAAAUGCUUAGAUAUGUCAUAGAACACCGAUUGCGAAGGCAGCUUGCUGGGCUUAAAUUGACGCUGAGGCACGAAAAGCGUGGGGAGCAAACAGG
rnacentral:rRNA from 1 species